UACGAAGGGGGCUAGCGUUGCUCGGAAUCACUGGGCGUAAAGGGUGCGUAGGCGGGUUUUUAAGUCAGAGGUGAAAUCCUGGAGCUCAACUCCAGAACUGCCUUUGAUACUGAGAAUCUUGAGUAUGGGAGAGGUGAGUGGAACUGCGAGUGUAGAGGUGAAAUUCGUAGAUAUUCGCAAGAACACCAGUGGCGAAGGCGGCUCACUGGCCCGGUACUGACGCUGAGGUGCGAAAGCGUGGGGAGCAAACAGG
rnacentral:rRNA from 1 species